rnacentral:lncRNA from 1 species
UCUCAUUCACUCUCACACACAUCUUUACACACGCCCGAGCCACAACAACAGCUGGAAGCCCUAGAGUUUCAGAUCUGAAAACAAAAACUCCCAAAUAUCAAAAUAAAAACUCCCAAAGAAGAGGAUUUCGAAGAGCUGAUUGACCUCUACUGGUUGCUAUACAAUUUCUGGGAUUUUCUGAAUUGAUCAAGUUUUAAAAAUCAUUUUUGUUUUCUGUUGCUGUUCUGGGUUUUCUGUAGCUGAGCUCCACUUCAUAGCUGUUGUUUUUCCUGCCUUUAUUUGGCUUUUUGUAAGACUUUGCACUGCUGCAAGGUAUUUAUUCCAGCCUCAAAUGAUGUAAUUGUUGUUUAGAUGUCAUUGUGCUAUGAAAUAUGCCAAUUGUGUUUCUGUUGAAUGCUCUUACAUAUUGAUUGCAAUUUUAAGUUGGUAUUGAAAUAUUUGAUGUAACUCUUGUCUAAAACAUGUUGUAGAUUCAAAUAACAAUAAGAUAUGUUUAAAAAUUGAGUUGGUUUUGUGGUUUGACGUUUUGCUUUUACCUGCUGGUCUGUUUGUUUGGUAAUAGCAAUUUGUGAUGUUAAUUUUGCCAUACCUAAAACUGAAAUUGUUUGUUACUUGUGCUAGAACCUGUUUUCAAUUGAUUCAUUUAAGUAAAUGUUUAAUCAUGUGUUGAGUGUUGUUUCAGAUUUAAUUAGCCAUGAAUUUGACUAUAAAUCUCCAGGUUAAUCAGGCAAUUCUGAGUUCAUUUCAGCAGGCAGGGUUGAAUAGAAAUGAGGAUUUGGGAAUAGUCUUAGUCCUAAAAGUUGUUAGAGAUCACAAAUAGUUAUCUUAAUGUAAUAAUGUUGCAUCAAAUUAGAUUUACAUCUUUCGUGUGCUAUUGCUAAGCAGCUUAUGAUGUAAGGAUUAAUUGCAUGUUUGAUCUUGAAGAUGGUAGCCCCCGUUAUUAAU